AACAGAGCUUUGAAGGAGAAAGUAGCAUAAUGCAUUGCGAUGUAGAGAGCUGGCCGGCUGGUGAAAGGCCUGAUUGGGGCAUUAUGGCGAAUUACACUCUGGAGCAUUCAGCAAAACUGACGGUUUCCGCACGUUAUAGCGGCUAUGAGGCGCAUAUGCGCAAAUUAAGGUGGUACCACGGGUCUGCUCGUCCUUAUC
rnacentral:ncRNA from 1 species